GUGAAACCCCGUCUCUACUAAAAAUACAAAAAAAAUUAGCCAGGCGUGGUGGUGGGCGCCUGUAGUCCCAGCUACUUGGGAGGCUGAGGCAGGAGAAUGGCAUGAACCCGGGAGGCAGAGCUUGCAGUGAGCCGAGAUCGUGCCACUGCACUCCAGCCUGGGCAACGGAGCGAGACUCCGUCUCAAAAAAAAAAAUCACCCUGCCUUCUUUCCAUUAAUUCGAUCAUUUUUAAGCUAUACUAUUCGUUGUCCUUGCAAAUUUUAUUUAAAGAGAUUUGCAGGGGUAGCUAGGAUAAAUGUACCUUCUUUCAAAAGACAGUAUGCCUUUGUUGUUCUUAGACACUGAAGCUGGCGCUAGCAGGAAAGCCCACCUUACACCAAGAUUCUGGCUUGCAGUUCCCAGUGUGAAUAGGUUGCUCCAGAGUCCCAUCAGCUUUGCCAUUGUUUUCUUUUCCAAAUCAUUGCUCAGCAGCCACUUUGAGAUUCCUGUAGGAAAGCAAUUUUUUAUCUCCUGCUAUUGAGACAGAAGCUAUUAAUGCCAAGAUUUUAAGUUUAAGAAGCUCAAAUGUAUUCACCAGUAGAAAUUAUUUAAACAUUUGUGAUGUGCUCGUAUUGGGCUUGGUGCUAGAGAGUAAAAAUUAAGUAAAUAAUUAAAAGACAACUUGCUUCAAAAGCACUCUCCAUUUCAGAAUCUCAAAAUAGCGUGUGGUAUUCGUGUUCUUACCUGUGGCUAUUACUUGACAGGGUGAUCUGGACCCUCUGGCAUCUCUCAAAUCGCUGACUUACCUAAGUAUCCUAAGAAAUCCGGUAACCAAUAAGAAGCAUUACAGAUUGUAUGUGAUUUAUAAAGUUCCGCAAGUCAGAGUACUGGAUUUCCAGAAAGUGAAACUAAAAGUAAGUAGUAAUCUGCUGCUUGUGAGUCAUUAUAGAGUUGUGUGUUUUUCUUUAUAUUUUUAUUACUGAUUAUUAAAAUUGUCUAAAUGAGUAAAUUUUACCAUUAGUUUGUAAUAAAAGUGGGAGAGAAAAUGGUACAUCAGAUUUUUUUCUAAUAGCAGAGUUUAUGAUAGAACUUUUAAGUUGGAGCUCUUUUAUGUAAUGCUGGCUAUUCCAAAGUUUGCAAAAUGUUGAGGCCACGGUGAACAUUCUUAACAGUGGAUUGUCUGCUUGGAUACAUUCCCAGUGGAGAAUUUAAUGUAACCCACUUUUGUGCAGCUCUGUUUGUUAGAAUGAUUUUUCCGUUUAUUAGGAAUUCAUUAUUUUAUCAUUCAUUUAAUUGCCUUCUUGGUUCCCUGGGAUCCCCUCCUUGGAACUAGGAGAAUGAACUUUCUUCAGGGAGCUUUACCAAAGAAAGAAGACUACUGUGUCUUCUCUUAAUUUGAAAUUGCUUUUUGGUAUUUUCACCAGCCCGGAGUAUUGUAGGAGAGUUCGCUUCCAUGUCUUCUGAGGAAUGCAUCUAAAUGCAUGUGGUAUUCCUAUUUCCAUUAACUCUGUGUGUGGUGUCGCUGUAGGAGCGUCAGGAAGCAGAGAAAAUGUUCAAGGGCAAACGGGGUGCACAGCUUGCAAAGGAUAUUGCCAGGAGAAGCAAAACGUAAGACACGGAUAUCCAACUUAACUCUUCUUCACCUUCAGAAACAUGAUCUGAUCUGUCUGGCAGUUCGUCUCCUACAAAAUUAACCAAAAACUGUGACAUAUUAAUGUGGUAUUAAAUUUGAGUGCUUAUAGUCCAUGUACAUCAAUGGUCCAUACAUCACAAGAAAUUUCUACCAGCUUAGCAGAGCAAAUAUUUCAGUAGUCAGUCUUCAUGUGAUACCAUGUACAUCCUAUUUUCUAUAUAGGAAGAUGAACUGGAUGGUGUUUCUGAAGGAGAGAGUUCUUGUAUCAGUUUGUUAACAAAGAUAAGAUACUACACUGGUUGAAUUACUUUCAAAAGCUUUUGAAAGUAAAAGAGAAGCAACUUCUGUUGGUCUAGGUUUAACAGUUAUGUUCUUCCCCCUGUUAAGUUUUAAUCCAGGUGCUGGUUUGCCAACUGACAAAAAGAAAGGUGGGCCAUCUCCAGGGGAUGUAGAAGCAAUCAAGAACGCUAUAGCAAAUGCUUCAACUCUGGCUGAAGUGGAGAGGCUGAAGGGGUUGCUGCAGUCUGGUCAGAUCCCUGGCAGAGAACGCAGAUCGGGGCCCACUGAUGAUGGUGAAGAAGAGAUGGAAGAAGACACAGUCACAAACGGGUCCUGAGCAGUGAGGCAGAUGUAUAAUAAUAGGCCCUCUUGGAACAAGUCUUGCUUUUCGAACAUGGUAUAAUAGCCUUGUUUGUGUUAGCAAAGUGGAAUCUAUCAGCAUUGUUGAAAUGCUUAAGACUGCUGCUGAUAAUUUUGUAAUAUAAGUUUUGAAAUCUAAAUGUCAGUUUUCUACAAAUUAUAAAAAUAAACUCCACUCACUGUGCU
rnacentral:sRNA from 1 species